GAAACUCAAAGGAAUUGACGGGGGCCCGCACAAGCGGUGGAGCAUGUGGUUUAAUUUGAAGCAACGCGAAGAACCUUACCAGGUCUUGACAUCUUUUGAUAAUUCUAGAGAUAGAAGGUUCCCCUUCGGGGGACGAAGUGACAGGUGGUGCAUGGUUGUCGUCAGCUCGUGUCGUGAGAUGUUGGGUUAAGUCCCGCAACGAGCGCAACCCUUGAUCUUAGUUGCCAGCAUUCAGUUGGGCACUCUAAGGUGACUGCCGGUGACAAACCGGAGGAAGGUGGGGAUGACGUCAAAUCAUCAUGCCCCUUAUGACCUGGGCUACACACGUGCUACAAUGGAUGGUACAAAGGGCUGCAAGACCGCGAGGUCAAGCCAAUCCCAUAAAACCAUUCUCAGUUCGGAUUGCAGGCUGCAACUCGCCUGCAUGAAGCCGGAAUCGCUAGUAAUCGCGGAUCAGCAUGCCGCGGUGAAUACGUUCCCGGGC
rnacentral:rRNA from 2 species